GGUUUGAUUAUGGCUCAAAUUGAGCAACUGGCGGGAUGCUUUACACAUGCAAGUCGAACGGCGGCACGGACUUCCGGUCUGGUGGCGAGUGGCGAACGGGUAGUGAAUAUCGGAACGUGCCUAGUAGCGGGGAUAACUGCACGCCGAAAGCGUAGCCUAAUACCACAUACAUAUCGAAGGGGAAAGCAGGGGACCUUCGGGCCUCGCACUAUUAGAGCGGCCGAUAUCGGAUUAGCUAGUUGGUGGGAGUAACGGCUCGCAAGGCGACGAUCCGUAGCUGGUUUGAGGACGACCAGCCACGCAGGACUGAGACCUGGCCCAGACUCCUGGGGAGGCAGCAGUGGGAAUUUUGGACAAUGGGAAACCUGAUCCAGCCAUCCCGCGUGUGCGAUGACCUUCGGGUUGUAAGCACUUUUGGCAGGAGAGAAGAAACGGCACGGGGAUAAUACCCCGGUGCAACUGACGGAUACCCCGAAUAAGCACCGGCUAACUACGUGCCAACCGCGGUAAUACGCCAGGUGCAAGCGUUAGUCGGAAUUACUGGGCGUAAAGCGUGCGCAGGCGGUUCGGAAAGAAGGUAAGCGAAAUCCAGAACAGCACUGGAACUGCAUUUUUAACUGCGAGCUAGAGUGUGUCGGAGAGGUGGAAUUCCGCGUGUAGCAGUGAAAUGCGUAGAUAUGGAGAAGACGCAGUGGCGAAGCAGCCUCUGGGAUAACACUGACGCUCAUGCACGAAAGCGUGGGGAGCAAACAGGAUUAGAUACCCUGGUAGUCCACGCCCUAAACGAUGUCAACUAGCUGUUGGGGCCUUCAGGCCUUUGGUGGCACAACGCGUGAAGUUGACCGCCUGGGAAGUACGGUCGCAAGAUUAAAACUCAAAGGAAUUGACGGGGACCCGCACAAGCGGUGGAUGAUGUGGAUUAAUUCGAUGCAACGCGAAAAACCUUACCUACCCUUGACAUGUCUGGAAUCCCGAAGAGAGAUUUAGGAGUGCUCGCAAAGAACCGGAACACAGGUGCUGCAUGGCUGUCGUCAGCUCGUGUCGUGAGAUGUUGGGUUAAGUCCGCAACGAGCGCAUUACUUGUCAUUGGAUUGCUACGAAGGGCACUCUAAUGGGAACUGGCGGUGACAAACCGGAGGAAGGUGAGGAUAAUCAAGUCCUCAUGGCCUUAUGGGUAGGAGCUUCACACGUCAUACAAUGGUCGGGACAGAGGGUCGCCAACCCGCGAGGGGGAGCCAAUCCAGAAACCCGAUCGUAGUCCGGAUCGCAGUCUGCAACUCGACUGCGUGAAGUCGGAAUCGCUAGUAAUCGCGGAUCAGCAUGUCGCGGUGAAUACGUUCCCGGUCUUGUACACACCGCCCAUCACCAUGGGAGUGGAGUUUUACCAGAAGUAGUUAGCCUAACCGUAAGGAGGGCGAUUACCACAUUAGGAUUCAUGACUGGGGGUGAAGUCGUAACAAGGUAG
rnacentral:rRNA from 1 species